UACGUAGGGACCAAGCGUUGUUCGGAUUUACUGGCGUAAAGGGCGCGUAGGCGGCUUGACAAGUCACAUUGUGAAAUCUCCGGGCUUAACUCGGAACGGCCAAGUGAAACUGUCAUGCUAGAGUGCAGAAGGGGCAAUCGGAAUUCUUGGUGUAGCGGUGAAAUGCGUAGAUAUCAAGAGGAACACCUGAGGUGAAGACGGGUUGCUGGCUGACACGUGACGCUGAGGCGCGAAGACCAGGGGAGGCAAACGGG
rnacentral:rRNA from 1 species